rnacentral:rRNA from 1 species
UGCAUGUCUAAGUACAUGCCGUACAAGGCGAAACCGCGAAUGGCUCAUUAAAUCAGUUAUGGUUCCUUGGAUCGUACCUUACUACUUGGAUAACUGUGGUAAUUCUAGAGCUAAUACAUGCAGCAGAGCUCCGACCCUCGGGAACGAGCGCUUUUAUUAGACCAAAACCGAUCGGGCUUUUGUCCGUAUUUUGUGGUGACUCUGAAUAACUUUGGGCUGAUCGCACGGGCCCGUCCCGGCGACGUAUCUUUCAAGUGUCUGCCUUAUCAACUUUCGAUGGUAGGUUACGCGCCUACCAUGGUCGUAACGGGUGACGGGGAAUCAGGGUUCGAUUCCGGAGAGGGAGCCUGAGAAACGGCUACCACAUCCAAGGAAGGCAGCAGGCGCGCAAAUUACCCACUCCCAGAUCGGGGAGGUAGUGACGAAAAAUAACAAUACGGGACUCUUAUGAGACCCCGUAAUUGGAAUGAGUACACUCUAAAGCCUUUAACGAGGAUCCAUUCGAGGGCAAGUCUGGUGCCAGCAGCCGCGGUAACCCCAGCUCGAAUAGCGUAUAUUAAAGUUGUUGCGGUUAAAAAGCUCGUAGUUGGAUCUCAGUUCCAGACGGGAGGUCCUCCAACCGGAGUCAACUUCCUGUUCUGAACAGCCAGCCGGUUUCUCUUGAUGAUCUUCACCGGUUGUCUUGGGUGACCGGCAAGUUUACUUUGAAAAAAUUAGAGUGCUCAAAGCAGGCGUGACGCCUGAAUAAUGGUGCAUGGAAUAAUGGAAUAGGACCUCGGUUCUAUUUUGUUGGUUUUCUGAACACGAGGUAAUGAUUAAGAGGGACAGACGGGGGCAUUCGUAUUGCGACGCUAGAGGUGAAA